rnacentral:lncRNA from 1 species
GGUGAGCCAGAGAUAGGCUCAUAGGACAAGACAUACCAGAGAUGGCUGUGAAACUUGAAUCAGUAAAGAUCUGAGUGAAAUCUUUCAAUGUCAGACCUUGAAUCUCCAAGUAGCAAGUGUGCAAGAGCACAUGGAGGUGAGUACAUGCUACCCAGGGCUUGGUGACGCCAUGGAUUCUGGUGAAACAUGGUAGAAAUCGGUGGGAGAAGGCUAGGGUUUCGGAGGGGGCUAGAGAGAGUUUGAGAGGACGAGGGGGUUUAGGGGUGG